rnacentral:rRNA from 1 species
UACAGAGGUCUCAAGCGUUGUUCGGAUUCAUUGGGCGUAAAGGGUGCGUAGGCGGCGCGGUAAGUCGGGUGUGAAAUCUCGGGGCUUAACUCCGAAACUGCAUUCGAUACUGCGGUGCUUGAGGACUGGAGAGGAGACUGGAAUUCAUGGUGUAGCAGUGAAAAUGCGUAGAGAUCAUGAGGAAGACCAGUGGCGAAGGCGGGUCUCUGGACAGUUCCUGACACUGAGACACGAAGGCCAGGGGAGCAAACGGG